ACGACGAGGAUGGUCACACGAGCAUCCAGCCUCACUUUGGUGAGUUCAAAUAUUGAACUCACCAAAGUGAGGCUGGAUGCUCGUGUGACCAGAGCCUCCUCGUCGU